AGGAUGAACGCUGGCGGCGUGCUUAACACAUGCAAGUCGAACGGUGAACACGGAGCUUGCUCUGUGGGAUCAGUGGCGAACGGGUGAGUAACACGUGAGCAACCUGCCCCUGACUCUGGGAUAAGCGCUGGAAACGGCGUCUAAUACUGGAUAUGUGACGUGACCGCAUGGUCUGCGUUUGGAAAGAUUUUUCGGUUGGGGAUGGGCUCGCGGCCUAUCAGCUUGUUGGUGAGGUAAUGGCUCACCAAGGCGUCGACGGGUAGCCGGCCUGAGAGGGUGACCGGCCACACUGGGACUGAGACACGGCCCAGACUCCUACGGGAGGCAGCAGUGGGGAAUAUUGCACAAUGGGCGAAAGCCUGAUGCAGCAACGCCGCGUGAGGGAUGACGGCCUUCGGGUUGUAAACCUCUUUUAGCAGGGAAGAAGCGAAAGUGACGGUACCUGCAGAAAAAG
rnacentral:rRNA from 1 species